UUGUCAGCUUACAUAAUCCUUACCUGUUUCUACUUUUGGAAGGCAGAAUAGAACAUGAUGAUUGGAGUUUGUAUGGUAUGUGAUCAAUGAGUUUGCAUGGUCAGGACUUGCAACACCCGAUUGCUCCUGAU
ensembl:snoRNA U8 U8 small nucleolar RNA